GUACAUUGAACGCUUUCGUCACGGAAGGCCGCAGAGUCGAGAGGAACGUCUGCAAACGUCGGCAAUGGUGGGAGAGGGCCAGCAGCCUUUCUGGUGGCUUUCCUCCUCCUCUCUACCCUCCAGUUCUACACCCACUCAAACCACUGACAAAGGUACUUCACUUGGCUCAUUCAUUGUUCUUUACAUCUCAUUGAAACUCAUUAAAAGUUUUACUGUUUCGAUAAAACAAGGAAUCUAGUGACCGUUGUGAUGCAUUUGACCAACUGUCUUGCUCUGCUCUCCAUUUCAAAUCAAAGUUUAUUGGUCGUGUACACAGUUUAGCAGGUGUUAUAGCGGGUGCAGCGAAAAUCUUAUGUUACUAGCUCCUAACAAUGCAGUAAAAUGUCAAACAAUUAAAACGUUUUUUUUUUUAAGGAAAGAAGUCAAGAAUGUAAGGACAAAUCCAUCUAACAACCCAAAUAGCACCAUCAAAAUGAAAUCUAUAUACUGGAUGAAUAUGUACAGCAGUAGAUAUAUUAGUGAGAUAUAUCAAGAAUCAAAAAUAUAAAUAAAUAUGCUGUGUGUAUAAACAGUAAAACACAAUUUCUUAUUAAUUCCAUUUUUCUUUGUACACAGGCCUUUCCCUUAGAAAAGACUCAGCCACCACCCUCAGUCCAGUUGGGUAGUUUUGGCAUGGCACCACCCUCUCCCCAUGCAGGGGACUCCUUGAUCUUAGUGCCAUGGGCCUGUCAGACUCCUCUCACGGUGACCUUGGAGACUCUGAGAUACUGCAUCUACAGGAGAAGGCCAGUAGACUGCUACACAGAAGUGAGCACUCACUCAGUAGUGGAUCUAUCCUCAUCAGCUCUGAGGGCCUGGGCUGCUCCAAUUUGUCCUCCUCUGUGAGCAUAGAUGAGCCAGUCCAAAGGCCUAUAAUUACCAGACCUAUCAACUCAACCACUGGUGAGUCAUGUGGGUUGGGAAGUUCAAAACAUCUGAUUUGCAUGAAUUUCCCUGGUCUCAACCACAUUAUAUUGCUUUUUCAAACUCCCAUAGCCACUGUUAUUCUGUGCUCUUGCCACGUCCCUCAUUUCUCAUGGUCACCAUUUAGUUUCCUUUUGCAACUUUCUUUAUUUUCACACACAUUGCAAUAA
rnacentral:lncRNA from 1 species